UGCCAGCCGCCGCGGUAAUACGGAGGGUGCAAGCGUUAAUCGGAAUUACUGGGCGUAAAGCGCGCGUAGGCGGUUAGUUAAGCUGGAUGUGAAAUCCUUCGGCUCAACCGAAGACUUGCUUUUCAUACUGCUGGGCUUGAGUCCGGGAGGGGAGACGGGAAUUCCUGGUGUAGCGGUGAAAUGCGCAGAUAUCAGGAGGAACACCGGCGGCGAAGGCGCGUCUCUGGACCGGUACUGACGCUGAAGCUCGAAAGCGUGGGGAGCAAACAGGAUUAGAUA
rnacentral:rRNA from 1 species